rnacentral:tRNA from 1 species
AAAAAUUUAGUUAAUCUAAUAUAACAUUAGUUUGUCAAACUAAAAUAAUAAUUAUUAUAAUUUUUA